UAAGGAAUAUUGGACAAUGGAGGCAACUCUGAUCCAGCCAUGCCGCGUGAAGGAAUAAGGCCCUAUGGGUUGUAAACUUCUUUUAGACGGGACAAAACCCCUUUACGUGUAAAGGGUUGAUGGUACUGUCAGAAUAAGCAUCGGCUAACUUCGUGCCAGCAGCCGCGGUAAUACGAAGGAUGCAAGCGUUAUCCGGAAUUAUUGGGUUUAAAGGGUGCGUAGGCGGACUAAUAAGUCAGUGGUGAAAGCCUGCAGCUUAACUGCAUAAUUGCCAUUGAUACUGUUAGUCUUGAGUACAGUUGAGGUAGGCGGAAUGUGUCAUGUAGCGGUGAAAUGCUUAGAUAUGACACAGAACACCGAUUGCGAAGGCAGCUUGCUAAGCUGUAACUGACGCUGAGGCACGAAAGCGUGGGGAGCAAACA
rnacentral:rRNA from 1 species